UCAAGAAUCUUCCACAAUGGCCGAAAGGCUGAUGGAGCGACACCGCGUGUAUGAAGACGCCCCUCGGGGUGUAAAGUACUUUUAUCUGGGAAGAAACAAUGACGGUACCAGAUGAAUAAGGAGCUGCUAACCUCGUGCCAGCAGCAGCGGUAAUACGAGGGCUCCAAGCGUUAUCCGGAUUUAUUGGGCGUAAAGAGUUUGUAGGUGGUCUGAUACAUCUCCUGUUAAAUCUGCGGGCUCAACCCGUAGUCUGCGGGAGAGAUGGCCAGACUAGAGACCGGAAGAGGUAAGCGGAAUUGCUGGUGUAGGGGUUAAAUCCGUUAAUAUCAGCAGGAACACCAAAUGCGAAGGCAGCUUACUGGGACGGUUCUGACACUGAGAAACGAAAGCGUGGGGAGCGAAUGGG
rnacentral:rRNA from 1 species